UCACCCUCGCCAUGAGUUCCCCUGCGGAUCUCAAGGGCGGAGUUGACCGUCCUGCUGCCCUCUGGUGCAGCGGGUCGGUUGAAGCGCAGCGGCUCCAGCAAACACCCACUCGGGCGCUGGCUAGGUAGGUAGCUCCGGCUGCAUGCCGCCAGACUGCCCCGGAUUUGCAUGGGAGCCUUCCUUUGAAACUUUUAC
rnacentral:misc_RNA from 1 species